rnacentral:rRNA from 1 species
UACGGAGGGUGCAAGCGUUGUCCGGAUUUAUUGGGUUUAAAGGGUGCGUAGGCGGCCUGGUAAGUCGGCGGUGAAAGCCCGGGGCUCAACCCCGGAACUGCCAUCGAUACUGUCAGGCUUGAGUACAGGCGAGGUUGGCGGAAUGGGCGGUGUAGCGGUGAAAUGCAUAGAUACCGUCCAGAGCCCCGAUUGCGAAGGCAGCUGACUAGGCUGUAACUGACGCUGAGGCACGAAAGCGUGGGGAGCGAACAGG